CGGCCAAUCGGGAGCUACACAUGCAGCUGAGCGGUAGAGAUCUUUCGGGAUCUUGAGAGCGGCGUACGGGUGCGGAACACGUGUGCAACCUGCCUUUAUCAGAGGGAUAGCCUUUCGAAAGGAAGAUUAAUACCUCAUAAUAUAUUGAUUCGCAUGGAUUGAUAUUGAAAACUCCGGUGGAUAGAGAUGGGCACGCGCAAGAUUAGAUAGUUGGUGAGGUAACGGCUCACCAAGUCGAUGAUCUUUAGGGGGCCUGAGAGGGUGAUCCCCCACACUGGUACUGAGACACGGACCAGACUCCUACGGGAGGCAGCAGUGAGGAAUAUUGGACAAUGGGUUAGCGCCUGAUCCAGCCAUCCCGCGUGAAGGACGACGGCCCUAUGGGUUGUAAACUUCUUUUGUACAGGGAUAAACCUACUCUCGUGAGGGUAGCUGAAGGUACUGUACGAAUAAGCACCGGCUAACUCCGUGCCAGCAGCCGCGGUAAUACGGAGGGUGCAAGCGUUAUCCGGAUUUAUUGGGUUUAAAGGGUCCGUAGGCGGAUCUGUAAGUCAGUGGUGAAAUCUCACAGCUUAACUGUGAAACUGCCAUUGAUACUGCAUGUCUUGAGUAAGGUAGAAGUGGCUGGAAUAAGUAGUGUAGCGGUGAAAUGCAUAGAUAUUACUUAGAACACCAAUUGCGAAGGCAGGUCACUAUGUCUUAACUGACGCUGAUGGACGAAAGCGUGGGGAGCGAACAGGAUUAGAUACCCUGGUAGUCCACGCCGUAACGAUGCUAACUCGUUUUUGGGCUUUCGAGGGUUCAGGAGACUUAGGCCGAAGGUGAUUAAGUUAGCCACCUGGGGAGUACGUUUCGGCAAGAUUGAACUCUCAAAGGAAUUUGACGGGGGCCCGCACAAGGCGGUGGAUUAUUGUGGUUUAAUUCGAUGAAUACGCGAGGACUUUACAGGCUUAAUGGUAUGACGACGCAGAUGUUGUUUUUCUUCGGACAUUUCAGUGCUGCAUGAUGUCGUCAGCUCGUGCCUGA
rnacentral:rRNA from 1 species